UGAUGGGAGAGGGACUUGUGAAGCUCCCCAAGCAUGAAAGAUCUGUUAAGUAUAAGUGACUGCUUAUGGAAAGAAAACAACAUUUAUCCAAUGGCAUGAUUUCUGAACCAAGAACCUUCCUGAACCAGGAAUACAGGAGAUAUACAACAACACCAAGCAGUUCUUAUUUAUAGUAGUGAAUAAACUGCCACAAU